rnacentral:rRNA from 1 species
GACGAACGCUGGCGGCGUGCCUAAUACAUGCAAGUCGAACGCAGUGGGGACGGGUGAGUAACACGUGGGUCACCUCCCAUCAGAGGGGAUACCACUUGGAAACAGGUGCUAAACCGCUACUGAUGGAUGGACCCGCGGUGCAUUAGCUUGUUGGUGAGGUAACGGCUCACCAAGGCCACGAUGCAUAGCCGACCUGCGAGGGUGAUCGGCCACACUGGGACGGAGACACGGCCAGAACGCCUACGGGAGGCAGCAGUGGGGAAUCUUCGGCAAGGGACGAAAGUCUGACCGAGCAACGCCGCGUGAGUGAAGAAGGUUUGCGGAUCGUAAAACUCUGUUGUUAGAGAAGCGGUAUCUAACCAGAAAGCAACGGCUAACUACGUGCCAGCAGCCGCGGUAAUAC